rnacentral:tRNA from 1 species
GGUCUCGUGGCCGAGCGGCUAGGCACUGGUCUGCAAAACCAGCUACAGCGGUUCGAAUCCGCUCGAGACCU